CUUUACUAUAGCUUGACACUGAACAUUGAGCCUUGAUGUGUAGGAUAGGUGGGAGGCUUUGAAGCGUGGACGCCAGUCUGCGUGGAGCCGACCUUGAAAUACCACCCUUUAAUGUUUGAUGUUCUAACGUGGACCCGUAAUCCGGGUUGCGGACAGUGUCUGGUGGGUAGUUUGACUGGGGCGGUCUCCUCCUAAAGAGUAACGGAGGAGCACGAAGGUUGGCUAAUCCUGGUCGGACAUCAGGAGGUUAGUGCAAUGGCAUAAGCCAGCUUGACUGCGAGCGUGACGGCGCGAGCAGGUGCGAAAGCAGGUCAUAGUGAUCCGGUGGUUCUGAAUGGAAGGGCCAUCGCUCAACGGAUAAAAGGUACUCCGGGGAUAACAGGCUGAUACCGCCCAAGAGUUCAUAUCGACGGCGGUGUUUGGCACCUCGAUGUCGGCUCAUCACAUCCUGGGGCUGAAGUAGGUCCCAAGGGUAUGGCUGUUCGCCAUUUAAAGUGGUACGCGAGCUGGGUUUAGAACGUCGUGAGACAGUUCGGUCCCUAUCUGCCGUGGGCGCUGGAGAACUGAGGGGGGCUGCUCCUAGUACGAGAGGACCGGAGUGGACGCAUCACUGGUGUUCGGGUUGUCAUGCCAAUGGCACUGCCCGGUAGCUAAAUGCGGAAGAGAUAAGUGCUGAAAGCAUCUAAGCACGAAACUUGCCCCGAGAUGAGUUCUCCCUGAGACUUAGAGUCUCCUGAAGGAACGUUGAAGACGACGACGUUGAUAGGCCGGGUGUGUAAGCGCAGCGAUGCGUUGAGCUAACCGGUACUAAUGAACCGUGAGGCUUAACCUUAC
rnacentral:rRNA from 1 species